rnacentral:rRNA from 1 species
AGAGUUUGAUCCUGGCUCAGGACGAACGCUGGCGGCACGCUUAACACAUGCAAGUCGAACGAGAGAAGAGGAGCUUGCUUUUCUGAUCUAGUGGCGGACGGGUGAGUAACACGUGAGCAAUCUGCCUUUUAGAGGGGGAUACCGAUUGGAAACGAUCGUUAAUACCGCAUAACAUAAUUGAACCGCAUGAUUUGAUUAUCAAAGAUUUAUCGCUGAAAGAUGAGCUCGCGUCUGAUUAGCUAGUUGGUAUGGUAACGGCUCACCAAGGCGACGAUCAGUAGCCGGACUGAGAGGUUGAUCGGCCACAUUGGGACUGAGACACGGCCCAGACUCCUACGGGAGGCAGCAGUGGGGAAUAUUGCACAAUGGAGGAAACUCUGAUGCAGCGAUGCCGCGUGAGGGAAGAAGGUUUUAGGAUUGUAAACCUCUGUCUUCAGGGACGAAAAAAGACGGUACCUGAGGAGGAAGCUCCGGCUAACUACGUGCCAGCAGCCGCGGUAAUACGUAGGGAGCGAGCGUUGUCCGGAAUUACUGGGUGUAAAGGGAGCGUAGGCGGGAUCGCAAGUCAGAUGUGAAAACUAUGGGCUUAACCCAUAAACUGCAUUUGAAACUGUGGUUCUUGAGUGAAGUAGAGGUAAGCGGAAUUCCUAGUGUAGCGGUGAAAUGCGUAGAUAUUAGGAGGAACAUCAGUGGCGAAGGCGGCUUACUGGGCUUUAACUGACGCUGAGGCUCGAAAGCGUGGGGAGCAAACAGGAUUAGAUACCCUGGUAGUCCACGCCGUAAACGAUGAUUACUAGGUGUGGGGGGACUGACCCCUUCCGUGCCGCAGCAAACGCAAUAAGUAAUCCACCUGGGGAGUACGACCGCAAGGUUGAAACUCAAAGGAAUUGACGGGGGCCCGCACAAGCAGUGGAGUAUGUGGAUUAAUUCGAAGCAACGCGAAGAACCUUACCAGGUCUUGACAUCGUAUGCAUAGCUCAGAGAUGAGUGAAAUCUCUUCGGAGACAUAUAGACAGGUGGUGCAUGGUUGUCGUCAGCUCGUGUCGUGAGAUGUUGGGUUAAGUCCCGCAACGAGCGCAACCCUUACUGUUAGUUGCUACGCAAGAGCACUCUAGCAGGACUGCCGUUGACAAAACGGAGGAAGGUGGGGAUGACGUCAAAUCAUCAUGCCCCUUAUGACCUGGGCCUCACACGUACUACAAUGGCUGUCAACAGAGGGAAGCAAAGCCGCGAGGUGGAGCGAACCCCUAAAAGCAGUCUUAGUUCGGAUUGUAGGCUGCAACCCGCCUACAUGAAGUCGGAAUUGCUAGUAAUCGCAGAUCAGCAUGCUGCGGUGAAUACGUUCCCGGGCCUUGUACACACCGCUCGUCACGCCAUGGGAGUCGGUAACACCCGAAGCCUGUAGUCUAACCGCAAGGAGGACGCAGUCGAAGGUGGGAUUGAUGACUGGGGUGAAGUCGUAACAAGGUA